AUUGAACGCUGGCGGCAGGCUUAACACAUGCAAGUCGAGCGGAGAGAGGUAGCUUGCUACUGCUCUUAGCGGCGGACGGGUGAGUAAUGCUUAGGAAUCUGCCUAUUAGUGGGGGACAACAUUUCGAAAGGAAUGCUAAUACCGCAUACGUCCUACGGGAGAAAGCAGGGGCUCUUCGGACCUUGCGCUAAUAGAUGAGCCUAAGUCGGAUUAGCUAGUUGGUGGGGUAAAGGCCUACCAAGGCGACGAUCUGUAGCGGGUCUGAGAGGAUGGUCCGCCAGACUGGGACCGAGACACGGCCCAGACUCCUACGGGAGGCAGCAGUGGGGAAUAUUGGAAAAUGGGCGGAAGCCUGAUCUAGCCAUGCCGCGUGUGUGAAGAAGGCCUUAUGGUUGUAAAGCACUUUAAGCGGGGAGGAGGCUACUUUAGUUAAUACCUAGAGAUAGUGGACGUUACUCGCAGAAUAAGCACCGGCUAACUCUGUGCCAGCCGCCGCCGUAA
rnacentral:rRNA from 1 species